CCUACGGGUGGCAGCAGUGGGGAAUAUUGCACAAUGGGCGCAAGCCUGAUGCAGCCAUGCCGCGUGUGUGAAGAAGGCCUUCGGGUUGUAAAGCACUUUCAGCGGGGAGGAAGGCGUUAAGGUUAAUAACCUUGUCGAUUGACGUUACCCGCAGAAGAAGCACCGGCUAACUCCGUGCCAGCAGCCGCGGUAAUACGGAGGGUGCAAGCGUUAAUCGGAAUUACUGGGCGUAAAGCGCACGCAGGCGGUCUGUCGAGUCGGAUGUGAAAUCCCCGGGCUCAACCUGGGAACUGCAUUCGAAACAGGCAGGCUAGAGUCUUGUAGAGGGGGGUAGAAUUCCAGGUGUAGCGGUGAAAUGCGUAGAGAUCUGGAGGAAUACCGGUGGCGAAGGCGGCCCCCUGGACAAAGACUGACGCUCAGGUGCGAAAGCGUGGGGAGCAAACAGGAUUAGAUACCCGGGUAGUC
rnacentral:rRNA from 1 species